UACGUAGGGGCAAGCGUUGUCCGGAAUCAUUGGGCGUAAAGAGCGCGUAGGCGGUCCGGUAAGUCGGUUGUGAAAACUGGGGCUCAACCCUCAGAGGCCGACCGAUACUGUCGGGCUAGAGUCCGGAAGAGGCGAGUGGAAUUCCUGGUGUAGCGGUGAAUGCGUAGAUAUCAAGUGGAACACCAGUGGCGAAGGCGAGUCUCUGGACAUUUCCUGACGCUGAGGCACGAAAGCCAGGGAGCAAACGGG
rnacentral:rRNA from 1 species